rnacentral:misc_RNA from 1 species
GUUUUCCGUAUUCGAAUUCCUUAUUUAACUUUAUUGGAUGUAAGCCUGUAACAAUUAAACAUGGCCAUCACCACCUGCCAGAAGUUUCUAAAGCAUACAUACCCAUGAAGGUGAAAGGUAAUUCCACAAGGAUCAAUUCCCCAUCUAUUGAUUCUUAAAAGGGUUAUCGAAUUGGGUUGGUAUUCUGCUGGUGAAUUCUUGGUCCCCUACUCCACUUUCUCAUUUGAAGGUUUGAGCAUAUUUUAAGAUCAAUGUCCUAUUGAUCCAGGAAUAAAAUCUUGCCUGCUUUCAAAUUUACUUUACUUUUUGAAAUAUCGUAACCCUUUCGGCCUAUUAGAGGGACCUACAAGACUCGAUCCACCAAAAGUGGGCCAACCAAACCUGUAAGUCAUCAUCACUGUAUCAUAUUGAUCUGUACAUGGUGAAGGAAUAGAGUUAUCAUCUAUAGAUGGGCCCAAAACAAUAGGACAAUUCUUCGCAAGUGGGCUUUAAGAGCAUUGGAUGAAUAAAACCACACAAGGAGCCUACAGCAUCUACAGCUUUAUUAUAGCCCUACAACAAAAACUUGUAAUAUGUAGCAGCACUUUUGUAACUGUUGUCCUAUUCUUUGUAUUAAGCACUAUAACCUUGGUUUGAUGGAUGCCAUUGUCCGACGUCAAGGCCGUUGCACAUGGCAGUAGCAGCUUCUUCCAUGGAGACUUGAGAGACCCCUGUGUUGCAAAUAUUAGCAAAUGCACGCAUGUGUUUCAUGCCAUACUGGGUCAAUGAUCCGCAGUGUGUUUCAAACACACGAACCAUUGAUUUCAAGCAAUUCCAGUCAUCUACCAGGGGCAAGCCGGGUCCUCUAACAGAAUGAAGGAUGGAAGAACUUUUUUGGGGUCCAAACAAUAGAGUUCCAAUCAAUUCUAUGCUACUAUCCAAGUGCUUUCUAUGCUUUAUUGUCUCAGUGACCUGCUGGAGGAUUUGUGUCUUCUUUUCUGACCCAUCUUUUGACCUUUUGUACAUUUGCCACAUGAAGAGAAGCUCUGCAUCCCUCUGGUUAACAACAUCCAUAGGUGCACUGAUAUGGCCAUUUUUUGGAGGGAAGUUCACACUUGCAGGGUCAAAACCUUGAUAUAAAUAGACCCUUUCUGCUUUGAUACUUGUAUUCCCAUAUUCCAUCACAUGAGAUCCAGCAUUAUAAGUAUUACAAUUAGAAGUCCUGGCCUUUACCGUCUUAUACUGUUGCUUUAACGUUUCUUUCUUCAGAUUGUGCGACUCGCUGUCCUCCAUCCAAGCAACACUGUACAAAUCCCCUAAACAGGUGAUGAAUUCUGGAGGUGGAGGAGGCUCCAUCCCAGGACAGUAAGUUCCAAAGCUAUUCUCUUGUGCAUUUGAAGCUGUAGUGACAUAAAUGUUUAGAUCUUUGGGCAUGAUCCCUUCGAAAAUACUCCCACUUUCACAAGCUUCUACAUAUAUAAUCAUUUCUUUGUAGCCCCCAGCUGCCUGUUUCUUCUUCAAAACCUCGAUGAAAUCCAUUGCAUACACAAAAGGCGGAUUUGGCAUCCCAAGAACUCCAGGGCCUCCAUGAUCAGUAUAGUACAAGAAGAUCCUAUCAUUUGCCUUGCUAUUUACAACCUUGCCACUUCCACCCUUGACAGCACUUUUAUCCCCAAGAAGUACUGCAUACAGAUUCUUAGCAGUAACGUGCUCGCCGGUGUAAUCCUUAGGCACACCGGCAUAUACAUCUUCUCCCUGUGGAUGGUUGAUGAUAAUCCCAGGCCUUGGAUUCAAUUCAUUUUUAGCUAUAUCAUCAUACAUAAAAACUAUUAUGUUCUCCUCUUUUAAGCCUCCUUUUCUUAGAAGCUGAUAUGCAUGGCAAACAUCGGCCUGAUGCCUGUAAUUUCCGUAACCCCCUGAUCCGGCCACGAGAACUGCCCAUCUUGUGCCAAGUUGAUCAUCAUCAACUCCUGGUUCAACUUCCUCUGUGGGCAUGAGGAUCCCAGGCUCAAACCGGUUGAGCCGAGAGGCUAAACCACCUUCAAUAGAAAGAAAAGACAGUAUAACAACUAGAAACAGGGCAUAAUUGAAGAACAAGGUGAAUCUAUGGGUCUCCAUGCAGGGUGUGGAGGGCCAAGAAAACCAGAAACGGUGGAACACAAGCGAAAAUAUCACCUGGGCUAGUGAGAGAGUGAGUUUGAAAAGAAAGCAAGUAGUGAGGUGGCAUUUAAAGGGAGGGAGGAAAAGCCACGGAAGGCGCCAUGCAAAACAAGGGGUUGACACGUCUGGCAAAUGGCUGAGAAAGGUGGGUCCUACAAACGCUGUGGCUCUGGGUGCUUAUGGUUUGGUUUGAGAGGCUGCAUCGGUUUUCUUCUUCU